rnacentral:rRNA from 1 species
GACGAACGCUGGCGGCGUGCUUAACACAUGCAAGUCGAACGGUGAAGCGAGUGCUUGCACUCGUGGAUCAGUGGCGAACGGGUGAGUAACACGUGAGUAACCUGCCCAUCACUCUGGGAUAAGCACUGGAAACGGUGUCUAAUACUGGAUACGACCAACCCUUGCAUGGGGUGUUGGUGGAAAGAUUUAUCGGUGAUGGAUGGACUCGCGGCCUAUCAGCUUGUUGGCGGGGUAAUGGCCCACCAAGGCGACGACGGGUAGCCGGCCUGAGAGGGUAACCGGCCACACUAGGACUGAGAAACGGCACAGACUCCUACGGGAGGCAGCAGUGGGGUAUAUUGCACAAUGGGCUAAAGCCUGAUGCAGCGACGCCGCGUGAGGGAUGACGGCAUUCGGGUUGGAAACCUAUUUCAGCAGGGAAGAAGCGAAAGUGACGGUACCUGCAGAAGAAGCACCGGCUAACUACGUG